rnacentral:rRNA from 1 species
UCGAGGGGUAGCAGGGGAGUAGCAAUACUCCCGCUGGCGACCGGCGCACGGGUGAGUAACACGUAUGCAACCUGCCCUUGUCAGGGGGAUAAGCGGAAGAAAUUCCGUCUAAUACCGCAUAACGCUGCGGGGAGACAUCUCCCUGCAGCCAAAGAUUUAUCGGACAAGGAUGGGCAUGCGGCGCAUUAGCUGGUUGGCGGGGUAACGGCCCACCAAGGCGACGAUGCGUAGGGGUUCUGAGAGGAAGGUCCCCCACACUGGUACUGAGACACGGACCAGACUCCUACGGGAGGCAGCAGUGAGGAAUAUUGGUCAAUGGCCGGGAGGCUGAACCAGCCAAGUCGCGUGAGGGAAGACGGUCCUAUGGAUUGUAAACCUCUUUUGUCAGGGAGCAAAAACUGCCACGCGUGGCAGGAUGAGAGUACCUGAAGAAAAAGCAUCGGCUAACUCCGUGCCAGCAGCCGCGGUAAUACGGAGGAUGCGAGCGUUAUCCGGAUUUAUUGGGUUUAAAGGGUGCGUAGGCGGACAGUUAAGUCAGCGGUAAAAUUGAGAGGCUCAACCUCUUCCCGCCGUUGAAACUGAUUGUCUUGAGUGGGCGAGAAGUAUGCGGAAUGCGUGGUGUAGCGGUGAAAUGCAUAGAUAUCACGCAGAACUCCGAUUGCGAAGGCAGCAUACCGGCGCUCAACUGACGCUCA